ACUACUAUAAAAGCCUUUACGUGGCCAGGUAUUUGAUUUGGUACUUGUAAUUUAUGUUGCUCGUUCAAGAAACAAUACGCGGACGAUAUAUGGCCCACCUGCCUGGUGGUGAGCUGUUACCAUCGCUCAUGGAGGUCAGCAAUGUCAGGGGCAGAGCCAAGCCGCUGCCUACCGUUAAGUACUCUCCACAAGCCACGUUUGAAGAAGGACGGGAGGGAAGGGAGGUCAUUCCAAAGCUGAAUGCCCACAGACGUCCACUGCUGGACAUAGGCCUCCCCGAAGCCUCGCCACAAAGACUGAUCCUGCGCUGCCUGCAUCCAGCGGAUCCCCGCGAAUCUCAAUAGAUGGUCGGUUCAUCUUGUAGGAGGCCUACCCACGCUACUCAAGAACUUUCUUAAAUUAAACAUGAAAAUACAUAUUUUAUGCACAAA